GAUGAACGCUAGCUACAGGCUUAACACAUGCAAGUCGAGGGGAAACGACAUCGAAAGCUUGCUUUUGAUGGGCGUCGACCGGCGCACGGGUGAGUAACGCGUAUCCAACCUGCCCACCACUUGGGGAUAACCUUGCGAAAGUAAGACUAAUACCCAAUGACGUCUCUAGAAGACAUCUGAAAGAGAUUAAAGAUUUAUCGGUGAUGGAUGGGGAUGCGUCUGAUUAGCUUGUUGGCGGGGUAACGGCCCACCAAGGCGACGAUCAGUAGGGGUUCUGAGAGGAAGGUCCCCCACAUUGGAACUGAGACACGGUCCAAACUCCUACGGGAGGCAGCAGUGAGGAAUAUUGGUCAAUGGGCGAGAGCCUGAACCAGCCAAGUAGCGUGCAGGAUGACGGCCCUAUGGGUUGUAAACUGCUUUUAUGCGGGGAUAAAGUGGGCCACGCGUGGCCUUUUGCAGGUACCGCAUGAAUAAGGACCGGCUAAUUCCGUG
rnacentral:rRNA from 1 species